rnacentral:siRNA from 1 species
CAGCCAAUUCCAGCGUUCGGUC